UACGUAGGGCGCAAGCGUUAUCCGGAAUUAUUGGGCGUAAAGAGCUCGUAGGCGGUUUGUCGCGUCUGCCGUGAAAGUCCGGGGCUCAACUCCGGAUCUGCGGUGGGUACGGGCAGACUAGAGUGAUGUAGGGGGAGACUGGAAUUCCUGGUGUAGCGGUGAAAAUGCGCAGAUAUCAGGAGGAACACCGAUGCGAAGGCAGGUCUCUGGGCAUAACUGACGCUGAGGACGAAAGCAUGGGGGAGCGAACAGG
rnacentral:rRNA from 1 species